AUGCCCCUUCGAACUUGCAGCUGCAACUGGAGUGGGUUGUUUUCUUCUGUGGUUUUUGAUAAAUUAGAAAUGGGCUUUAGUUUCUGGAAUUUGACUGGGCCAAGAAACCCAAAAGAGCUCAGUCUAAUUUACAUUAACUCGAGCUUUAUUAUUCUUCCUGAAAGCACCACAGCAGCGAGAACUGCCAUAGCUACAAACACAGAAAAACCAAAACAGCGAAUGCUCAAGUUACUAGUCUCUUUGCCUACCCGCCUACCUUUUCCUUCCUUCACCAGAACAAUUUGUAUGAGAAAAAUGACCACUGCACCAUCACCUAUUUCCCCCAAAUUUAUUCCUGUUCAAGCUCCUCACGUUUUUUCAACAACUAAACCUGAUGGGAUUAGAGUCCGUCUUGUUUCCUAUAACAUUUUGGCUCAGGUUUAUGUCAAGAGUUCUUAUUUUCCACAUUGUCCAUCUCCUUCCCUCAAGUGGAAGUCUCGUUCAAAGGCAAUUUUAACUAUUCUCAAGAAUCUUGAAGCCGACUUCCUCUGUCUUCAGGAGGUGGAUGAGUAUGAUAGCUUUUACAAGCAAAACAUGGAGAUCCAUGGUUAUUCCAGUAUUUACAUUCAGAGGAGUGGGCAGAAACGUGAUGGCUGCGGGAUAUUUUAUAAGCACGACUGUGCAGAGUUGCUCUUGGAGGAGAGAAUAGAGUACAAUGAUCUUGUAAACUCAGUUCAAGAAGAGGCCUGUUUAUGUGGAGAUAAACCAAUUGAAACAGAUGCAAAUGGCGAUAAAAGUGUUGAACCAAAAAAUGGUGCCUCGUCAAAAAGUACUCCUGAAGAUCGUGGUGAUCCUAAUGAUCCUCGUGUAAGAUUGAAACGCGAUUGUGUUGGAAUCAUGGCUGCGUUUAGGCUCAAGGAUGCCUUUCGGCACAUUGUUAUUGUUGCAAACACACACCUUUAUUGGGAUCCAGAAUGGGCCGAUGUCAAGCUUGCCCAAGCUAAAUAUCUUUUGUCCCGUUUGUCUCAAUUUAAGAUCCUAGUUUCUAACCAAUUUGAAUGUUCACCCUCUCUUUUUCUGGCUGGCGACUUCAAUUCAAUCCCAGGGGACAAGGUUUACCAGUACGUUGUUUCUGGAAAUUCAUCAUUUGCACCAACAGUAGAAUGCUUGGAUGAUCUUCCUAUUCCCUUAUGUAGUGUCUAUGGUCAUACAAGAGGCGAACCACCAUUCACAAACUGCACCCCUGAUUUCACAAACACACUUGAUUAUAUAUUCUUUUCCCCUGAUGAGAAAAUAACACCAAUCAGUUUCCUUGAACUUCCGGAAGGAAAUUCGCCUGACGUUCUUGGCGGAUUACCGAACUUCUACCACCCAAGUGAUCAUCUACCAAUUGGUGCUGAAUUUGAAAUCUCCAGGGAAUAAAGUCCAUCGCAGAGCAAAGCAAUUGCUUUGCUUUUCCAUUUUUGUUAUUAUUGAUGCAUUGAUCUCUCCAUUUGUUUGUAAAAAUUUAGUUUCAUUUUGACGGAUUUCGUUUGGAUAGCUCCUGUAGGAUAUAACUGUAGGCCUGCUUAUCCUUUUCCAUAGAAGCUCCAAAGUGCAGAGGGAAAUUGCUAGCAAGAUGUGGAACACUAGAAUCGUGGAUAGAGGCAGAGAAGAGAGCAGCAGUUUCAAGUGGUUGGUGGGCAAAGACUAUUUUCGAAUUUAGCUUUGGCCAUUGACAAAGUAAUAAUGAAAGCCCUGACAAAAUGACCAAGGUAUUAUGGUAAAACAACAGGAACUGAGCAGCUAGUUGUAGUAAUUGACCCCUCCAAGUUGUAACCAAUAAUGAUGCAUAUCUUUGCAACCUCAAAUGGCAUGUCCAAUAGUGACAGCCACUAAUGAGGCUAAUUGCAUAUGAUGACUAAGCACGCAUUUAAAAUUUCCCAAGUAAUGGGAAUUGGGAGCGCUCAAAAAGAUUUGAUAUAUGUAUAUACAGCAACUCUGAAUAAUAAUAGUAUUGCUUACUUUUGACCAUUGUGA